rnacentral:rRNA from 1 species
GUAGGUGGCAAGCGUUGUCCGGAAUUAUUGGGCGUAAAGCGCGCGCAGGUGGUUCUUUAAGUCUGAUGUGAAAGCCCCCGGCUCAACCGGGGAGGGUCAUUGGAAACUGGGGAACUUGAGUGCAGGAGAGGAAAGUGGAAUUCCACGUGUAGCGGUGAAAUGCGUAGAUAUGUGGAGGAACACCAGUGGCGAAGGCGACUUUCUGGCCUGUAACUGACACUGAGGCGCGAAAGCGUGGGGAGCAAACAGGGAUUAGAUACCCUGGUAGUCCACGCCGUAAACGAUGAGUGCUAAGUGUUGGGGGGGUUUCCCGCCCCUCAGUGCUGCAGCUAAUGCAUUAAGCACUCCGCCUGGGAGUACGGUCGCAAGACUG